UCUGUUCCCCCUAUUCUGCAGGGGUCACACCACCCAGGCCCUCAGGCUGUGGAGGCUCUGGCAGUUGGUCUUGCCACAGAGAAAAGGAUGGAGAGAAGGCUUCCGGACUGGAAGAGGCUCCCUGGGCCCCUUCCUUGAUUGGUGAUUGCUGGGGCUCACUGAGGUCAAGAGAGACCUAGCAGCUUCCUGGAAUAAAACAAAGGGAGAAAUGCCAUAAAGGGUUAAAUGCAAUGGUAUGUUGAUAUACUAUAAACAAAUAAUUUUUUUUUUUCCGAGAUGGAGUCUUGCUCUGUCACCCAGGCUGGAGUUCAGUGGCACGAUCUUGGCUCACUGCAACCUCCACCUCCCGGGUUCAAGAGAUUCUUCUGCCUCAGCCUCCGAGUAGCUGGAUUGCAGGCACCCGCCACCACAUCCAGCUAAUUUUUGUAUUUUUAGUAGAGAUGGGGUUUCACCAUGUUGGCCAGGCUGGCCUCAAAUGAUCCACCUGCCUCAGCCUCCCAGAGUGCUGGGAUUACAGCCACAGUGCCCGGCCAGGAUUUGUUUUUGAAUGUUAAUUCAUGAUGACUAUAUUAGUUGAGUGGCCCAAAAAUGUAACCCAAGAAAAAAACCAUCUGAUAACAGGGUCUCCCUUCAACCUUGUAUCCUCCUGGUAGUCUGAAGUCCGUCAUUUGUACCUCUAGUCUACCAAAUAUGAAGGUCAAGGGCAAGUGGCCUUCUUGUGCUGGCUGUGGGUAGUGACUGUGCUUGGCUGUGGCUCCAGGUUUGUCCCACUGAGCCUCUGCAGGGCUCCCGAGUCAGCAUCUCUCUCCUGGACCCUGUGCCUUGCCCCAGCAAGGAGUCCCCCAAGGGGCAUCGGGGUUCCAGCACCACAGGUGUGCUAGGGGACUCUGGAAGAGGUCUGGAUGGGAGGGCAGUUCUAACAAUGAGCAAGACACCCCGGCUUCCCUAUCCUUAAAGCUGGCCAGCCUGGAGAGGAGGUCUUCCGCCUUCCCCCUCCCGGCCCAGGCUUCAGGGACCACGCCACCCACUGCCCUCUAUCCCAUAACGCCACCGCUCCUGUGUGGAACCUAGAUGCUCAUGAAUCUACUUGCAGCAGCCCCCCCAUCCCAGUCCUUUUCUCCCUCCCUCCACUUACUCCCAUUGCCGUGUACUUAGAUGGUUUUCUCCCCAGCAGUGAACGCACAUGCCUGAAGUCAAACCCUCCUUCUAGCUCCUUCCAGAGGGGACAAGCAGAAUGGUGCAGUAGAAAGACUACAACUUUUGAAAUCAGACAGCCUGGGGUUUGAAUCUCCAGCAAGUUCCUUAGCCAAUCUGAGAACUCAAGUUUUUCAACUGUAGGAUGUACCUACAAUGUCCACUUAGCAAGUAUUUAGUUGAGAAUUUAAAUAUAUAUCUAAAAGAUCUGGCAACUGCAGGCACUUAAUAAAUGGUCCCUAUUGCUGGUAUUGCUCAGGCAGUGUCUGGCUGCUUCUUUGCCAAGGGAGUGGGAAUACCCUGGUACCCCACACUGGCACAGUAUGGCCACACUCAAGUUCCAAGCACCCUGAUUAGGUGCUUAGCCUCAGAUGUUAUGUAUGGCAUUAGUGGCUUUUACAAAUCUGGGAUUUCAACUGGCAAGAUAUUUUAAAGCCAGCAUUGGCAAGAGUGCAUGGGAAAAAUCAUUGACCCCUGGUUCGUAGGGUGCACGCUUUGUCUGGUAAAAUCUUUCUAGGGGAACAUCUAGAGAUAUGUAUUAAAACAGCUCUGCCUGCAGGAAUUCAUAGAAAGUUGUGCAAAGAAUUACAUAUCUGGAUGUUCAUGACAGCAUUAUUUGCAAUACUAAACAAAUAAAAAAUGUCCUCAUCGCUCCUCACCUAACACUAGGGAUUGUCGAGAAAAGGCACAGUAUAUCCUGCUAUAAAAGUAACAUUGUGGCAGGCUGGGUGUGGUGGCUCAU
ensembl:lncRNA